AAGAAAAAUUUCUCUGAGGAGUCUCAUAGGGCCCCUGAGACUUCUCAAAUAAAUUUGUUCUCUCUUCAUAUAAAGAGGAAGAUACUAAUUAGGCUUGUUUUGUAUGCUAGAUUUCAU